CUCCGUCCUCAUCCAUCUAGACCUUCUCUUCUCUGUUUCCUUUUCCUCUUCGCUCUCUCUUCUCUUUGCUGGAUCCAAGCUUACGGAGGAUGUGAGUAGGCGCGAGCCUGCAACGAGCGAGGAGGCGAAGCUUGAUGCGAGCAGGCGCAAGCCCACAGGGAGCGAGGAGGCAAAGAUCAAUGCAUGGGCGCGGCGGCUCCAACGGUGGGCGAUAGCGGCAUAGCCCAAAGCAGCUGCGACGGCGCUACGCUCGUCCGCCAUGCCGAGGCUGGGAACUCCAAAGAGGAACAGGGUCCAUGGAGGGUGGAGGCGCAGGAAAUGGUUUCACUGGGACGGCGCAGACAAAGGGGACUGGGGGUGAUGGCUCCGCCAAGCCGCUGCCCCCUUGCUGCGUCAAGGCCAGGGCCGCGGCGGCUGAGUCUGAGGCCAAGUGUCAUGCUACAGUGGUGUCGGGAUGGUUCACCGAACCACGGUCACGAUGCGGUAAAGCAAGCAAAGUUCAAUACUACAAUAACCCGAUGUGGCCAGGAGAGGCCCACUCCUUGAAAGUGGAGAAGAUCUUGUACCAGGGGAAGUCACCAUACCAAGAAGUCUUAGUUUUUGAGUCGUCAACCUAUGGUAAAGUCCUUGUGCUUGAUGGCAUUGUUCAGUUGACUGAUAAGGAUGAAUGCGCGUACCAAGAAAUGAUUACUCACCUCCCACUUUGUUCCAUUUCAUCCCCUAAAAAGGUUUUAGUUAUUGGUGGUGGUGAUGGUGGUGUACUCCGAGAGAUUUCCAGACAUAGUUCUGUGGAGUCUAUUGACAUAUGUGAAAUUGAUCAGCUGGUUAUUGAUGUUUGCAAAGAUUUCUUCCCACAACUGUCUGUUGGAUUUGAAGAUCCUCGUGUUCAACUUCAUGUUGGUGAUGCUGUGGAGUUCUUGAGAAAUGCUCCUGAAGGUACAUAUGACGCUAUCAUUGUUGAUUCAUCAGACCCAAUAGGGCCUGCUCAGGAACUUGUGGAGAAGCCUUUUUUUGAUACAAUUGCUAGAGCCUUGAGGCCUGGUGGAGUUCUUUGUAAUCAAGCUGAGAGUAUGUGGUUGCAUACACAUCUGAUUCAGGAUAUGCUUUCAAUUUGCCAUGAGACUUUCAAGGGUUCUGUGCACUAUGCAUGGACUAGUGUCCCAACAUACCCGAGUGAACUGGUACCAGCGCUGGUUCAUUUGGCAAUCGUAGGAUAUUUGGGGCUUAGCUCAACUCAUGCAAGGAACCAGUCAUAGCCUGACAAAACAUUAUGGAGUGAUUGGGUUUUUGCUAUGUGCCAAAGAAGGCCCACCGGUCAACUUCCUGACUCCUAUAAAUCCAAUUGAAAAACUUGAGGGAGCUACAAAAGCUGGAAGGGAGAUCAGAUUUUAUAAUUCAGAGAUGCAUAGGGCAGCAUUUGUUCUUCCGACCUUUGUGAAAAAAGAGCUAGAAGCGUAUUGCGUUUCCACCGGAAGGGAAGAGCCAGAGGAAACAGCUGCAACAGCACCGAAGAUUACUGUUACUUCGAAGAGCGAAAUUCUCACUGCAUCCUAGACCAGGGCUCACGACCCAUCAUGCGAUAUCAAGAAAUAGUUCCUUCCCGGCCCUCUUGGGUAUCCAGUGGAUAAACUCAGCAAUGUGCCAUCCCAUAUUGUAACCAUCUGUUAAUAAUUCAUGCUCUGAAUGAUGAGAUGAGAUUAGCAUGUUCUGAAGAGAAAAGACGAGCUGGCAGUGCAAUGUAUGAUUUGAGCGAUGAACAUUUCAAAUUGCAUGCCCCCUACUUUUUUGCCGAGCGGUGUGCUGUACUGGUAUUUGGUGGCCAUUUCUCAUCACCAGAGUGAGGUAUUUGUGAAUUAUGAACGUUUUGGUGAACUGGAUGUAUGGGAAAUCUUCUCAUCUAAA